UUUUUGAAUUUAAUUUAAAGUCUAACCUGCCCACUGAAUUUUUUAAAUGGCCGCAGUAUUCUAACUGUGCAAAGGGAGCAUAAUCAUUAGUCUUUUAAUUGAAGGGUGGAAUGAAUGGUUGGAUGAAAUAUUAACUGUUUCAUAUAAAUUUAUAAUAAAAUUUUAUUUUUUAGUUAAAAAGCUAAAAUUUAAUUAAAAGACGAGAAGACCCUAUAAAUCUUUAUAUUUUUUUUUAUUUUAAUUAUUUAGAUAAAUUUAAUUAUAAUAAUUUUAAAUAUUUUAUUGGGGUGAUAUUAAAAUUUAAAAAACUUUUAAUUUUAUAAUAACAUAAAUUAAUGAAUUUUUGAUCCAUAAAUUAUGAUUAAAAAAUUAAGUUACUUUAGGGAUAACAGCGUAAUUUUUUUAGAGAGUUCAUAUUGAUAAAAA
rnacentral:rRNA from 1 species